rnacentral:sRNA from 1 species
AGCUCUGAGCGGGAGGACUGCGCGGGAAGCAUUGGUGUCCCGGCGACUUCUAGAAGGCUGGGGUUCGGCGCUAUGGAGGAGCUCGAUGGCGAGCCAACAGUCACUUUGAUUCCAGGCGUAAAUUCCAAGAAGAACCAAAUGUGUUUUGACUGGGGUCCAGGGGAGAUGCUGGUAUGUGAAACCUCCUUCAACAAAAAAGAAAAAUCAGAGAUGGUGCCAAGUUGCCCCUUUAUCUAUAUCAUCCGUAAGGACGUAGAUGUUUACUCUCAAAUCUUGAGAAAACUCUUCAAUGAAUCCCAUGGAAUCUUUCUGGGCCUCCAGAGAAUUGACGAAGAGUUGACUGGAAAAUCCAGAAAAUCUCAAUUGGUUCGAGUGAGUAAAAACUACCGAUCAGUCAUCAGAGCAUGUAUGGAGGAAAUGCACCAGGUUGCAAUUGCUGCUAAAGAUCCAGCCAAUGGCCGCCAGUUCAGCAGCCAGGUCUCCAUUUUGUCAGCAAUGGAGCUCAUCUGGAACCUGUGUGAGAUUCUUUUUAUUGAAGUGGCCCCAGCUGGCCCUCUCCUCCUCCAUCUCCUUGACUGGGUCCGGCUCCAUGUGUGCGAGGUGGACAGUUUGUCGGCAGAUGUUCUGGGCAGUGAGAAUCCGAGCAAACAUGACAGCUUCUGGAACUUGGUGACCAUCUUGGUGCUGCAGGGCCGGCUGGAUGAGGCCCGACAGAUGCUCUCCAAGGAAGCUGACGCCAGCCCCGCCUCUGCAGGCAUAUGCCGAAUCAUGGGGGACCUGAUGAGGACAAUGCCCAUUCUCAGUCCCGGGAACACCCAGACACUGACAGAGCUGGAGCUGAAGUGGCAGCACUGGCACGAGGAAUGCGAGCGGUACCUCCAGGACAGCACAUUCGCCACCAGCCCUCACCUGGAGUCUCUCUUGAAGAUUAUGCUGGGAGACGAAGCUGCCUUGUUAGAGCAGAAGGAACUUCUGAGUAAUUGGUAUCAUUUCCUAGUGACUCGGCUCUUGUACUCCAAUCCCACAGUAAAACCCAUUGAUCUGCACUACUACGCCCAGGAAGACCCUUUCCUUUGGCCCUUAGUGAAAGAACAUGGCACCCUUCUCUGGGGUUCCUUAUACAGCAGCCCUGCCUGCCCCGAGUCUCUGCUUCCAUCCUCGGGAUUGAGUGUCAUCACCUUUCCACAGUCCAGCCU